rnacentral:rRNA from 1 species
GAUGAACGCUGGCGGCGUGCCUAAUACAUGCAAGUCGAGCGAACAGACGAGGAGCUUGCUCCUCUGACGUUAGCGGCGGACGGGUGAGUAACACGUGGAUAACCUACCUAUAAGACUGGGAUAACUUCGGGAAACCGGAGCUAAUACCGGAUAAUAUAUUGAACCGCAUGGUUCAAUAGUGAAAGACGGUUUUGCUGUCACUUAUAGAUGGAUCCGCGCCGCAUUAGCUAGUUGGUAAGGUAACGGCUUACCAAGGCAACGAUGCGUAGCCGACCUGAGAGGAUGAUCGGCCACACUGGAACUGAGACACGGUCCAGACUCCUACGGGAGGCAGCAGUAGGGAAUCUUCCGCAAUGGGCGAAAGCCUGACGGAGCAACGCCGCGUGAGUGAUGAAGGUCUUCGGAUCGUAAAACUCUGUUAUUAGGGAAGAACAAAUGUGUAAGUAACUAUGCACGUCUUGACGGUACCUAAACAGAAAGCCACGGCUAACUACGUG